CUUAUAAUUCUGUGUAACGGCUCUUGAAUUACAGGUGAAGGGGGACUUCAGAUUCAUUCUUUAUGUAUCCCACCGCUGAAUAUGUUUUCAUGACCAACCUGUGAUAAAGCAUGACAUCCACUGCCUGACAGACAGUUCACCCCAGCAAGGCGCAGCAAUGUCCCAGCUCUGCCUAAGGGCACAGAUCUCAGAAGACUUCUGCGAGGAUGUUGUUUUCUCUAUUCUGCCCCCAAAGCCCUAGUGUGGAAGCAGGCCAGCUCAAAAAGGCAGAGGGAAAAUGCCAGGCGGUUCAUGCAAGAAUGUGAACCCUGCUCAGAAGAGCCUCAUCUCAACAUUUCACACCCAAAAAGCAGCCAAUUUUUCCUAAGAAUUUCCUGAGAUGUAUCACAAUAUCAAACCCUAGGAAAAAUAUCAAAA